GAUGAACGCUGGCGGCGUGCCUAAUACAUGCAAGUCGAGCGAACAGACGAGGAGCUUGCUCCUCUGACGUUAGCGGCGGACGGGUGAGUAACACGUGGAUAACCUACCUAUAAGACUGGGAUAACUUCGGGAAACCGGAGCUAAUACCGGAUAAUAUAUUGAACCGCAUGGUUCAAUAGUGAAAGACGGUUUUGCUGUCACUUAUGGAUGGAUCCGCGCCGCAUUAGCUAGUUGGUAAGGUAACGGCUUACCAAGGCAACGAUGCGUAGCCGACCUGAGAGGGUGAUCGGCCACACUGGAACUGAGACACGGUCCAGACUCCUACGGGAGGCAGCAGUAGGGAAUCUUCCGCAAUGGGCGAAAGCCUGACGGAGCAACGCCGCGUGAGUGAUGAAGGUCUUCGGAUCGUAAAACUCUGUUAUUAGGGAAGAACAAAUGUGUAAGUAACUAUGCACGUCUUGACGGUACCUAAUCAGAAAGCCACGGCUAACUACGUG
rnacentral:rRNA from 1 species